AUUGAACGCUGGCGGCAGGCCUAACACAUGCAAGUCGAACGGUAACAGGAAACAGCUUGCUGUUUCGCUGACGAGUGGCGGACGGGUGAGUAAUGUCUGGGAAACUGCCUGAUGGAGGGGGAUAACUACUGGAAACGGUAGCUAAUACCGCAUAACGUCGCAAGACCAAAGAGGGGGACCUUCGGGCCUCUUGCCAUCGGAUGUGCCCAGAUGGGAUUAGCUAGUAGGUGGGGUAAAGGCUCACCUAGGCGACGAUCCCUAGCUGGUCUGAGAGGAUGACCAGCCACACUGGAACUGAGACACGGUCCAGACUCCUACGGGAGGCAGCAGUGGGGAAUAUUGCACAAUGGGCGCAGGCCUGAUGCAGCCAUGCCGCGUGUAUGAAGAAGGCCUUCGGGUUGUAAAGUACUUUCAGCGGGGAGGAAGGGAGUAAAGUUAAUACCUUUGCUCAUUGACGUUACCCGCAGAAGAAGCACCGGCUAACUCCGUG
rnacentral:rRNA from 1 species